GACGUAGGGCGCGAGCGUUUGUCCGGAUUUAUUGGGCGUAAAGAGCUCGUAGGCGGCUUGUCGCGUCGACUGUGAAAUCCCGCGGCUCAACCGCGGGUCUGCAGUCGAUACGGGCAGGCUAGAGUUCGGUAGGGGGAGACUGGAAUUCCUGGUGUAGCGGUGAAAUGCGCAGAUAUCAGGAGGAACACCGAUGGCGAAGGCAGGUCUCUGGGCCGAUACUGACGUGAGGAGCGAAAGCGUGGGGAGCGAACAGG
rnacentral:rRNA from 1 species